UUCUUAAAGAAUUUUUUUUUAAGUAAAACCUGCUCAAUGUAAUAUUAAUAGCCGCAGAAAUUUAACUGUGCUAAGGUAGCACAAUCACUUGUCUUUUUUUUUAGACUAGAAUGAACGGUUAAACAUUUUAUUAACUUUUUUAAUUAAACUUUAACAAAACUUAUACUAAAUGUAAAAAUACAUUUAUAUAAAAAAUAGACGACAAGACCCUAUCAAACUUAACUUCAGUUAAACUGGGGAAGUUAAUUAAAAUAAAUUUUAAUUUAAUUAUUAAAAAAAAAUAUCCAAUAUUAUUGACUAUUUAAUCAAGUUACUGUAGGGAUAACAGCGUAAUUUAUUUUUAAAGCUCUUAUUAAAAAAAAAGAUUACGACCUCGAUGUUGAAUAUCUUUCUUUUAUAAUGCAAAAGUUUAAAAAGAUGGUCUGUUCGACCAUUAAAUUUUUACA
rnacentral:rRNA from 1 species